UACGGAGGGAGCUAGCGUUGUUCGGAAUUACUGGGCGUAAAGCGCACGUAGGCGGCUAUUCAAGUCAGAGGUGAAAGCCCGGGGCUCAACCCCGGAACUGCCUUUGAAACUAGGUAGCUAGAAUCUUGGAGAGGUCAGUGGAAUUCCAGGUGUAGCGGUGAAAAUGCGUAGAUAUCUGGAGGAACACCGGUGGCGAAGGCGGCAUCCUGGACCGGUAUUGACGCUCAGGCGCGAAAGCCAGGGAGCAAGCGGG
rnacentral:rRNA from 1 species